CCUGCGGUAGUGUAAUGGUCAGCAUUUCUGCCUUGCAAGCAAGAAGACCCGGGUUCGAGUCCCGACCGCAGCA